AUGGGGUCCGCGGCGUCGACCGACAGGGCCGAGCGGCGGAGGCGGGACCGGGCGCCGGGGCACAGCGGGGCCCCCGAUCCCCCGGCGGCGCCUCCGCAGGAUCCUUCGGUGCCUGCCUCGGCAUCGGAGGCGGAUGUGAGCAGAAACGGGUGUAAGGUGGCGCCAGAGCCCAACGACGGGGAAGAGACGGCGCCGCUGCCGGGAUCCCCCAGCUUCCGGAUCUACUGCCAGAAGGCGGCCCAAGUCGACGCUCUGGUGGCCGAGGCCGACGAUGAAAACGCGGACGGCGACCACGGCGACGAAUUCGCCAGUGCUACUACGGACACGACUCUGGCGGUCAUGAAGAACGAUCCUCCACAAUGCUCCGGCGAGUUGCCCAAAUGUAAGGAGGGGUGGCUGAAGGUCAGAGGCCAGACGGCCGUCGGCGCGCUGUACAGCUUUAUCGCCUGUCACAGCAAGAGAAAUUCAGCUCCUCCUCCUCAUCCUCCUGCUGCAAAAACUCCCCGCCGUCCCGGUGCCGCUCCACCAGCUGCUGUUGCUGCAGAGCCCUAUCUCUGA
rnacentral:rRNA from 1 species